rnacentral:rRNA from 1 species
AUUGAACGCUAGCGGGAUGCUUUACACAUGCAAGUCGAACGGCAGCGCGGACUUCGGUCUGGCGGCGAGUGGCGAACGGGUGAGUAAUGUAUCGGAACGUGCCCAGUAGCGGGGGAUAACUACGCGAAAGCGUAGCUAAUACCGCAUACGCCCUACGGGGGAAAGCAGGGGAUCGUAAGACCUUGCACUAUUGGAGCGGCCGAUAUCGGAUUAGCUAGUUGGUGAGGUAACGGCUCGCCAAGGCGACGAUCCGUAGCUGGUUUGAGAGGACGACCAGCCACACUGGGACUGAGACACUGCCCAGACUCCUACGGGAGGCAGCAGUGGGGAAUUUUGGACAAUGGGGGCAACCCUGAUCCAGCCAUCCCGCGUGUGCGAUGAAGGCCUUCGGGUUGUAAAGCACUUUUGGCAGGAAAGAAACGGCGCGGGCUAAUACCCCGUGGAACUGACGGUACCUGCAGAAUAAGCACCGGCUAACUACGUG